CUUGAUCGAGCCGAGCCAGAGGGGCCGGUCGUCGGUCCGGCCCCGGCCGUAGGUGGCGAGCAACGCCUGCGCCUC
rnacentral:antisense_RNA from 1 species